CUGAAAGAAGAAAAUUAAGAAUUCACUUUCUCUGUUCUUUCAUGCUGAUGAAACUCAAUAAAAUGAACACUCAUUUAAGCAAAACACAAAAUAACAAGUAAUUUUUUGGAAGUUCAAAUGUAUUCAAAAUUUAAAAUCCUUUCUUCUGCUUUUUUCCUUUUGCAGUAUUUGCCAUCUCUCUUAGAAAUCCAAAAAGAACAUAUUGGUUAUCAGGAAAUGGAUGAAUCAGUACCCUCCAGAGGCAGAGCUCAGUUGGGGAAAAAUUUCAAGAUAUGGAGAACAGAUAUCAAUGAACAUAAACAAUACUGCUGUGAGAAGAGAGAGCUGGGACUACUCAAGGCUCACAUGAAUUCCUACAGGAGAUGUUGGCUUGUGUCAUCUGUUACAUGA
rnacentral:lncRNA from 1 species